rnacentral:sRNA from 1 species
GGAAGGCCAGCCCUGCUCACACAGGGACCAGCGCCUGUGCCCGGCGGGGGUGGGGCGGCUUCCCCUCAGCCCACUCCUCCAUCUUCAGCUCCUGCUAGGCACCGGGGAAAGUACCAGGCGCUGGCCUGUAACCUCCUUCCGGCUCUGUCCCCAUCAGCAGCUCCCCCAGAAGUGAUGGCCCCUGAGUGUGUGUUGGGAAGGGACCUGCCCCAGGGCCACACUCCAGCGGGAAGGGCGGGAGUGCAGUGAGCGAGUACAACCUGGGGCUCCUGGAGCACCUGAGCCCCACCGAGAAGGCUCCUGCGCCCCCGCCUCAGCCCGCGCUGACCCCUUUCCUCGUCCUCAGCAUCAAGCGUCUGCUGAUGUCCCAGGCUGACAAGAUGACGGCGGAAGAGGUGGACCAGAUGUUCCAGUUCGCCUCCAUCGAUGCGGCGGGCAACCUGGACUACAAGGCGCUCAGCUACGUGAUCACCCACGGGGAGGAGAAGGAGGAGUGAGGCCCGGCCGGGUCAAUAAACCUGGACGCUUGGA